rnacentral:rRNA from 1 species
GAAACAACUCUCAGCAACGGAUAUCUUGGCUCUUGCAACGAUGAAGAACGCAGCGAAAUGCGAUACGUAUUGUGAAUUGCAGAAUUCCGCGAAUCAUCGAGUCUUUGAACGCAAGUUGCGCCCGAGGCUCGUCCAAGGGCAUUUCCGCUAGAGCGUCACC